rnacentral:lncRNA from 1 species
UUCAACAGAGUACCCAUACAGAAGACCUAUUUUGGGUAUCAAGAGAGGCAUAACCCAAAUUUGGGUAUCCUCUCUCCUUGAGACCUAUUUGCAGAGAGUGUUGUCUUUUAGGUCUUGUUGUUGGAGAAGACUAAAAAUAGGUAUGGAACCUUUUACCUGUAGCGCUACCCAAAGGACAAAUGGGUAUUGUAUUUUGGGUAACAAUUGUUGGAGAUAGUCU